rnacentral:rRNA from 1 species
CCUACGGGAGGCAGCAGUAGGGAAUAUUGCUCAAUGGGGGCAACCCUGAAGCAGCCACGCCGCGUGGAGGAUGAAGGUUUUAGGAUUGUAAACUCCUUUUGUGAGAGAAGUUAAUGACGGUAUCUCUCGAAUAAGCACCGUCGAAUGCCGUGCCAGCAGCCGCGGUAAUACGGAGGGUGCAAGCGUUACUCGGAAUCACUGGGCGUAAAGAGUGCGCAGGCGGGCUUGUAAGUCAGAUGUGAAAUCCUGAAGCUUAACUACAGAACUGCAUUUGAAACUAGGAGUCUGGAGUGUGGGAGAGGUAGGUGGAAUUCUUGGUGUAGGGGUAAAAUCCGUAGAUAUCAAGAGGAAUACUCAUUGCGAAGGCGGCCUACUGGAACAUUACUGACGCUCAUGCACGAAAGCGUGGGGAGCAAACAGGAUUAGAUACCCGAGUAGUC